UCCUUGAAUUUCUCUACCCUUUCUGCCCCUGCUUUGCCCGCGACGUUCUUUUCCUUUUUUCCCAAUUCCCGCGAGUUUCUUCCUAGUUUUCCCACAAGCGUUUUGAUCCCACUCCUGCGCGACGUACGAAGCACCGGCACCGACGUAAGCUUCAGCGGCUGAGCAUUCGCCGACGACCCACCAGCAAAGAGCGCUUGAUCUCUGUCAACGGUGGAUCUUCCCAUCACUAUCUUCGACCCAUCUUACGGCAACCCACUCAUCUUUCGACGACCCAAAGCGUUCUGCAAGCGUACAACGACCCACUGCUACCGAUCACACUUUAUUUCAUCACCAAUCUCAGGUAACCUUGAUUUCAAGUCCAUACACUGUUUUUGUGUCUCUAAUCCAUCUAUAAUCUAUUUCCUUAUUCUGAGUAAUUGUUCUCCAGAUCUGUUUUGAGUAAUAAUUUACAAAUUGAUUAUAUGCUUUCUUGUGUUGUCUGGAAUUGAUUCGUUUGCUUUCUUUUUCCAUUUUAGUGCUAUUAAUUUUAUACCAAUGUUGGAAUAGGGAUAGUUAACUUUGUAAUGGGGAAAACUUGGGUUUUUAUUUUGUAAUCAUGCUCUUUAAAAACAUUAAUUUGGUGAUGGUGAUUCUCUGCAAUUUCACAAUUUAGACUAAAAUUUAUCAGUACACAAAUUUAGUUUUUGUAUUAUGAAGGGCUUUUUCCCCAAUAUUAUGUUACUGUGAGAGGACAAUUCAAGUAACAUUAGAUCUUAAAGUAUGCUUAUAUCCAUCUUGACUUUAGCGCAUGAUAACUUUGCCAUUGAGGUGUAUUGCUAAUACUUAUGUGUGACUGUCAUAUCAAGGGGUCACAAAUCCCCCUUUAGAUUUUUUUGGUAAUUGCAGAAUAAAGUUUUCACUUGUUAAAAAAGAAAAAGAAGGAGGGGUAAGUUUAGGUGUAUUUAAUCCUUUAUCAGUUCUUGUGUGAAUAUGAUCAUAUAACCAAGAACACUCAAUAAAAUCAUGAUUAUGUUGUUGUUUAAUAGUGAAGAACUAACUUCAUGUCUUGCAUAAGUUCUUUUUUAGUUUAUCCUAUGGAUAGAGCUAUGAAUUGUGAUAACAAUGAAGAUGCCAAUAUUGAUGAUCACACUGAACUGUUAUAUCAAGUUGAGAGGGACGAAGAUGACCUUAUUGAUCUUGGAAUGCCAAUUCAAAUGCAAAUUUUAAAUAGUGCUCGACAAGAGUUGGAAAAGAGGCAAUAUAUUGGUGCUGUUGUCUUGCUCUGUUAUGUGGUACAUGCAUUGAAUUUGAUUCAAAUGUUGACCACUUCUUUUCAUCGGCGAGUUCAUGAUGUGGAUCCUCAAAUAGAGCGUAGGCGUCGUGAGUUAAUGUGUUACCUAACACAAACAGAGAAGUGUCGUGACGUGAUACGUAUGGGCCCUGAAGCAUUCCUUCGAUUGUGCCAGAAAAUAAGAGGCACAGGUUUAGUAAAGGAUAACAUACGAUCCACCCUAGAAGAGCAAGUGGCGAAAUUCUUGCACAUAAUAGGACAUAAUGUUAAAGAUUGAACUGUUUCGUUCUUCUUCCACCGAUCCGGAGAGACAGUUAGCCGUCAUUUUCAUAAUGUGUUACAUUCCAUAAUCUCAUUACAAGAAGAAUUUUUUAUCCAACCAUCAGGUGCAGAUGUCCCGACACAAAUACUCCACAACGACAGAUUCUAUCCAUUUUUAAAGGAUUGCAUUGGAGCUAUAGAUGGGACACAUGUUCGGGUUAAGGUUCCAAGGUCAGAAGCCCCUCGCUUUCGUGGAAGAAAGGACUACCCUACACAAAAUGUCUUCGCUGCAUGUAACUUUGACAUGAAAUUCACAUACAUUCUAGCUGGAUGGGAAGGAACAGCUUCAGACUCUAGAAUUUUAAAGGAUGCCUUGAGUAGGGAAGACCCUUUAAUAAUUCCAGAAGGAAAAUUUUAUCUUGGGGAUGCGGGAUUUAUGCUUAAACCUGGGAUACUUACACCAUAUAGAGGUGUUCGUUAUCAUUUGAAGGAGUAUUCAACUCGAGGCCCCCAAAAUCCUAGAGAGUUGUUCAACCUACGCCACUCUUCACUCAGAAAUGUUAUAGAAAGAACUUUUGGUGUAUUAAAAAAAAGAUUUCCCAUCAUAUCCAGCGGAACAGAACCACAUUAUUCGUUUAAAGUAAUAAGGAACAUAGUAGUUGCUUGCUGUAUACUACACAAUUUUUUAAUGGGUGUGGACAUUGAUGAAGCCUUAAUGGCUGAAGUUGACCGUGAAUUGCUUCAACGUGACAUAGAUAAAUCUCAUACUCAACGUGAUGAGGAGUAUAGACAAGGCCAACUUCUAAGGGAUAAUAUUGCAAAUGAAAUGUGGAAUGUUUAUCAAGUUUAGUGUUGUUGUCUAAUGUUUCCUAAGUCUUCAUCUUGUAAUUUGUACUUGGAUUAUGUGCAUGUAAUGUUUGUUGUUAUUCAUGUUUUCCAUUUGUUAUUAGUGUUGGGUCAUUCUUUCUAUUUGUUAUUCAUUGAUCUGCUAAGUAUGAAAUUGAUUUGAGUAAUGUCAAAGACUAUUCUUCUCAGGUGUAUUUGUCAUUGAUUCCUAAAACAGUGAUCAACAUUUUCUAGCAUUCUAUAUAUUUACUACAAUUGUAUUUAUAGGUUGAAAGAUGACAAAGGGUAAGGGUCAAACUGGGGAACCUACUCAAGUCCGUGCUGCUGCUGUCUUGAGGUGGACUGAAGACAUGGACAACAUAUUAUUGAAUGCAUUUUCUGAGGAGGUUACCAAGGGAAAUAGGCAAGAUGGUUCAUGGACAACAGAAGGCUAUGCUAAUGUACUUGAGGCAUUAAGGGUUGCUGUUUCACCAACCAUGACAAAGCAACAUAUUAAAAAUAGAAUGAAAACCAUGAAGGAAAACUUUGUUGAGGCCUAUGAUCUAUUCAGAGGUCUUAGUGGCUUUGCAUGGAGUCCAGCGACUAGGAGGUUUGAGGCUGAGGAUCAUGUAUGGGAGGAAUUAAUUAAGGAAAAACCCCAUGCGGCUAAAUGGAAAAAAACGCAAGUCAAGCACUAUGAUACAAUGAAGGAGCUUUUUGGAGCUGAUUGAGCAACGGGAAAAAGAGCCUUAAGUGCUGGCCAAAUAUUGCGUGAAAUGGAUAAGGAAACCGUCGACUUAAAUGAUGUUGGUGAUGAUACUUCUAUACCGGAACCAAAUGUUGGUGUCUUUGAAGAGGGGCAAUUCUCCCCUCCUAAUGUUGACUCUUUUAGCCCAGCCCAAGCACCGUCUCAUCAAUCUACAGGUACAUCUGGUUCAAGAGGAACAAAGCGUAAGACAUCAAUGGUUGAUUCCUUUGAUUCUCAAGUGGAGAAAAUGACUAGUGCUCUUGGAUUGGUGGCUGAUGCAUUGAACAGUGGUAAUUGUAUUUCUAAUAAGCUACAUGAUGUGGCUGAAAGACAAGUGGGAGUCGUAGAACGUCAAGUUGGAGCAAUUGAAGAGCGCAAUGAAAUUUACAAAGACCAGUUGAUCGUCUUUAAACAUAGUAAACCACGUAUAUAUACUGAAUCGGAUGUGUGGAAUAUGUUGACUGAACUGAAUGUAACUGACCCACUUCGCAUGCAGUGCUAUGAAUUUCUUUGCACUAAUGAUCAAAAUAAGCGCUUGCUUUUUGGUGUACCAAGUCAGAUGCCACUACAGACUCUAUUUCAAAUGAUGAAUGAGGGUGGGUUCCGUUGAUAAGUUAUGUUCAGUUGUAGCCUUUUGUUGCUAAUUUACAUUAUGUACUUUUUUGGGAUGUAUGUACUGAAGACAUCAUUUGGCAGCUUUAGCUAUUUAUGUAAUUUGUAAUCUAUUAUGUAAAGAAGUAGGAAGCUAGGGAAGGUUGCUUGAUGUGAAAGGAUCAUUUUGUUUUGUUAUGGUGAAUGUCAUAUGUUUUGUAAGCCUUUUGAACGUCAGGUUGCUUGAUGUUAUGGAUCAUUAUGUAUGGAUUAUAGUAAAUGUAAUGUAACUACUUCUAUUACUUUUUC